UGAGCAACCUGCCCUUAACUCUGGGAUAAGCCUGGGAAACUGGGUCUAAUACCGGAUAUGACUCCUCAUCGCAUGGUGGGGGGUGGAAAGCUUUUUGUGGUUUUGGAUGGACUCGCGGCCUAUCAGCUUGUUGGUGAGGUAAUGGCUCACCAAGGCGACGACGGGUAGCCGGCCUGAGAGGGUGACCGGCCACACUGGGACUGAGACACGGCCCAGACUCCUACGGGAGCAG
rnacentral:rRNA from 1 species